UAUCACAAGCCUCGCACUCUCCCCUACGUAUUACUGGGCUAUUACUUGUUGUCCCAAACACUCCCACUGCUGGUUACUUCUUAUCCUCUCAGCUCGGGAAAACACCCGCCACUGAUUCGAGAUCUCGCCGGCUUGCUUCACUGAACCUACAACUGACGCAACCUCGGGCUAUUGCGAGGUGACGUGCAUACCUCGCCGCGCCACCCCAAGCAGUCGUCUCCCAGGAAGCUGAGGUGCCUCUUCCCUCCCGAGGAAUAAGGAUUUAUAGCAGUGGUGUCCAUCUUCCUUCGUCUCAGUCCAAGCAGAACUUCGAAUUAAGCAGAUUAUCUACAGCCUACCAUCCCCAAUCACAAGGUGCUUUGGAGAGAUGUCACCAGACCCUUAAGGCUCCUCUCCGCAAGUUUUGUCAGAACCAGGAAUGGGACGAGGCUUUACCUUUUGUCCUAUUCGCCAUAAGAGACGCCCAACGAGUCCCUUGGUGUUUCCCCCUUUGAGCUACUAUUUGGUCAUAAGGCUAAAUACCAUGGUCCGUAUACCAUCAAUAAGGAGGCAUUGGGAGCAGCAGCACCUUCAACUCCGGGAAGUGCUGACGAGGUUGCAGGGAGCACAUCUCACAGUCAAGCUGGCCAAGACCAUAUUCAACAAAGCGACGGUGACGUGCCUGGGACAUGAAGUGGGGCAAGGCCGUGUACGACUUCCUGGAGUACCCUGCCCCUACUACUCGGAAAAUUCAUUUUUGAACGAAUAAAGGUUCUGAAUAAG